CUGCCUGUGAUCUGCCCUGGGACAAGUUCUCUUUGUGGCUCUCCUGCAGCUAGAGAGCAGAUUGCCAGGUCCUGAAUCCUGGAGCAAUAUCCUUAGGUCCUUUUUCCUUUUUACUGAAUUGAAAGUUUUCAAGGCUUGAAUUCUAGAAACAAGUAAUGGUACAUGGAUCCUGUUGACAGGAUACUGAUACUGGAUACAGUUAAAAAAAAAGAAACUCAAUCUUGAAAAAUAAAAAAUAGAAACC